rnacentral:rRNA from 1 species
UACGGAGGGGGCGAGCGUUAUUCGGAAUUAUUGGGCGUAAAGGGCGCGUAGGCGGCUGAACAAGUCAAAGGUGAAAUCCCUCGGCUCAACUGAGGAACUGCCUUUGAAACUGUUCGGCUUGAGGCCGGGAGGGGUAGCGGAAUUCCCAGUGUAGCGGUGAAAUGCGUAGAUAUUGGGAGGAACACCAGUGGCGAAGGCGGCUCACUGGACCGGAACUGACGCUGAGGCGCGAAAGCGUGGGGAGCAAACAGG